rnacentral:lncRNA from 1 species
UUUCUCCCCCUUUUUGUCAUCAUAUCAAAAAGAAGGUAAACAGAACACACAAUCAAACAUAGAUCAAAAGGCACAUUAUUGAAGAAAAAUGCGGCUACUCAUUGUAUUAAUUUGUAUGUAAGUACAUUUCAGAAUACAAUAAGUAACGUAAGGCAAUACAUGUCAAAGCAAAAUACAAAAAGUAGCUACGGUCUCCUCGAGGAUGUAGGUCCUCCUCUCGAGGAUGUAUCUCCUCCUCUCGAGGAUGUGACUCCUCCUCUCGAGGAUGUGGCUCCUCCUCUCGAGGAGGUGGCUCCUCCUCUCGAGGAGGUAUCUCCUCGAGGCAUGCGCUCCACGAGUGAUUGGACCGCAUUGGUCACGUUCUCUAGCUGGCGAAUGAUGGCCUGGAUGGCCCUGCUCUGUGUCGUAUCCAGCUCGAGUACUGACUUCUGCAGUCCGUCCAGCUUGUCGAUGAGCACAUUCGACAAGCGCUCGGCCCCUGCGG